GACGAACGCUGGCGGCGUGCUUAACACAUGCAAGUCGAACGGAAAGGCCCUGCUUUUGUGGGGUGCUCGAGUGGCGAACGGGGGAGUAACACGUGAGUAACCUGCCCUUGACUUUGGGAUAACUUCAGGAAACUGGGGCUAAUACCGGAUAGGAGCUCCUGCUGCAUGGUGGGGGUUGGAAAGUUUCGGCGGUUGGGGAUGGACUCGCGGCUUAUCAGCUUGUUGGUGGGGUAGUGGCUUACCAAGGCUUUGACGGGUAGCCGGCCUGAGAGGGUGACCGGCCACAUUGGGACUGAGAUACGGCCCAGACUCCUACGGGAGGCAGCAGUGGGGAAUAUUGCACAAUGGGCGGAAGCCUGAUGCAGCAACGCCGCGUGCGUGAUGACGGCCUUCGGGUUGUAAACCGCUUUCGCCUGUGACGAAGCGUGAGUGACGGUAAUGGGUAAAGAAGCACCGGCUAACUACGUG
rnacentral:rRNA from 1 species